CCUACGGGGGGCAGCAGUGGGGAAUAUUGCACAAUGGGCGCAAGCCUGAUGCAGCCAUGCCGCGUGUGUGAAGAAGGCCUUCGGGUUGUAAAGCACUUUCAGCGGGGAGGAAGGCGGUGAGGUUAAUAACCUCAUCGAUUGACGUUACCCGCAGAGGAAGCACCGGCUAACUCCGUGCCAGCAGCCGCGGUAAUACGGAGGGUGCAAGCGUUAAUCGGAAUUACUGGGCGUAAAGCGCACGCAGGCGGUCUGUCAAGUCGGAUGUGAAAUCCCCGGGCUCAACCUGGGAACUGCAUUCGAAACUGGCAGGCUAGAGUCUUGUAGAGGGGGGUAGAAUUCCAGGUGUAGCGGUGAAAUGCGUAGAGAUCUGGAGGAAUACCGGUGGCGAAGGCGGCCCCCUGGACAAAGACUGACGCUCAGGUGCGAAAGUGUGGGGAGCAAACAGGAUUAGAUACCCGUGUAGUC
rnacentral:rRNA from 1 species